AGUCAAUUUCGAUUAUGUUUGAGUCAAUUUACAGUGAUGAACAUUAAUCGAUUUUGCUUGUUUGUUUAUGAGGCUUGUAGGUGAGGUUAUACAUGGGAAAUUAAAUCGGAUAUCCAUCAUCAAACCUGCAUCAUCAAACGAUAGUAAUCACAAGGUUGAACAAGUCAUGGAUGCUUUAUACGACUAUGGGAUGUUACUGAGUCACGAGAGAAGAAAGCAUUGUGUCAAAUGGCCCAUGAAUUUGUACUUCUUGUUUGCUUCGCUAUGAUUAUAUUGCUAGUGGUAUUUAUCUUGUUUAAGUAAAUUAGAUUAUGCUUCUGAUUUGAUCGGUAUGUUGUUUGUUGUGGAUCGGUAUGUUGUGUGUUUUGGAUUGUAGUUUUAAAGACUGAGUAACAUGUUUUUGGAAUUUGGUGUUUGGAAGACAAAGUCACAUGUAUUUGUUUUCUUUGUUUGGACAGAGUCACAAGAAUUUUUUCAGUU